CUGCCGGGGGUCGGGGCCAAGUGCGCGCCUCGCCGAGGACGAAGAGGCUGGCGUGCCCGGUGGCUCGGCUAGCUCCCGGGUCCCGGCCCCGCCUGGAGGAUGCGGCUGUGGGGGAAUGGGAGCGGCCGGACCUCCCAGCCUGACAGUGCAUCAAGAGCUUUGCGGAGCCUACAGCCCGGAUGGGACGACUGAGGCCCUCCCGCUGGCGAGCUGGCCGAGGGCUCGUCCCUCUCCAGCUAAAGCGCCAGCUUACGAUACAGCCAAACUGCCGGCUCUCAUCGGCUGUGGGAGCAGGAGGCCCCCAGGGGUAAAUCCCGGAGCCUCGUCUCUGAAGCCUGGCGCUUGUGUCUCAGAAGGUUCAAGUGAUUCUCCUGCCUUAGCCUCCUGAGUAGCUAGGAUUACAGAUUUAUAGGAGCAUUGUGACUGGACCAAGGACAAAGAAGUUCCCAACCUCCUCAGACCCUCGCUGCUGCCCAGAUGUCUGCCAUGGGGUGGCCAUCAUCGAAUCCACUGAGGGCGCAAAUAGAACAAAAAGGUGAAGAAAAGGUGAAUUCUCUCCUUUCUUGAGCUGGGACAUCCAACUUCUCAGACAUCAGAGCUCCUGGAGGCCUUCAGACUCCGAGACAUUACACCAUUGGCUCACCUGGUCCUCAGGUCUUUGGACUUGGAAUGAAUUACACCAUUGGCUUUCCAGGUCUUCCAGCUUGCAGAUGGCAGAUUGUGGGACUUUUCAGCCUCCAUAACUUUGUCAUCCAAUUCCCAUAAUAAAUCGCCUCUUAUAUCUGUAUCUGUUUGGUUCUGUU
rnacentral:lncRNA from 1 species